rnacentral:rRNA from 1 species
GAUGAACGCUGGCGGCGUGCUUAACACAUGCAAGUCGAACGAAGCAUUUAGGACAGAUUACUUCGGUUUGAAGUUCUUUAUGACUGAGUGGCGGACGGGUGAGUAACGCGUGGGUAACCUGCCUUGUACUGGGGGAUAGCAGCUGGAAACGGCUGGUAAUACCGCAUAAGCGCCCAAUGUUGCAUGACAUGGUGUGAAAAACUCCGGUGGUAUAAGAUGGACCCGCGUCUGAUUAGCUAGUUGGUGAGAUAACAGCCACCAAGGCGACGAUCAGUAGCCGACCUGAGAGGGUGACCGGCCACAUUGGGACUGAGACACGGCCCAGACUCCUACGGGAGGCAGCAGUGGGGAAUAUUGCACAAUGGAGGAAACUCUGAUGCAGCGACGCCGCGUGAGUGAAGAAGUAAUUCGUUAUGUAAAGCUCUAUCAGCAGGGAAGAUAGUGACGGUACCUGACUAAGAAGCUCCGGCUAAAUACGUG